UUUAGCAUGGGAAUAAUGGAAUAGGACUUUAGUCCCUAUUUCGUUGGUUCAGGAACUUAAGUAAUGAUGAAUAGAAACGGUUGGGGACAUUUGUAUUUGGUCGCUAGAGGUGAAAUUCUUGGAUUGACCGAAGACAAACUACUGCGAAAGCAUUUGAUCCAGGACGUUUUCAUUGAUCAAGGUCUAAAGUUAAGGGAUCGAAGACGAUUAGAUACCGUCGUAGUCUUAACCACAAACUAUGCCGACUAGAGAUUGGGCUUGUUUAUUAUGACUAGCUCAGCAUCUUAGCGAAAGUAAAGUUUUUGGGUUCUGGGGGGAGUAUGGGACGCAAGGCUGAAACUUAAAGGAAUUGACGGAAGGGCACCACCAGGAGUGGAGCCUGCGGCUUAAUUUGACUCAACACGGGGAAACUCACCAGGUCCAGACAUAGUAAGGAUUGACAGAUUGAAAGCUCUUUCUAGAUUCUAUGGGUGGUGGUGCAUGGCCGUUCUUAGUUCGUGGAGUGAUUUGUCUGGUUAAUUCCGAUAACGAACGAGACCUUAUUCUGCUAAAUAGGCGAGGUCAACUUUUUAGUUGAUUAAUAGAUUUAUCUAUCUGGCUUCUUAGAGAGACUAUCGGCUUCAAGCCGAAGGAAGGGUUUAGGCAAUAACAGGUCUGUGAUGCCCCUUAAGC
rnacentral:rRNA from 1 species